rnacentral:lncRNA from 1 species
CUUUCCUCUGCCAGGCCCUUCCACCAUUGUUUCUGCCUUGGAGCCAGUAAACCAUGGACUGAACCCACUGAAGCUGGGAGCCAAAACUUCUCUUCCUUUGUGUUAUGAGCAACAGAUAUUUUGUCCUAGUGUCAAGAAGCUAAUAUGAGCAGGAGAAGGUCAUAAGGGUCUUUAAUCUGGACUGUAUCCUUAUAGCAAGAGGAAGAGACCUAGAACCCUCUUCCUGUGUGCACACAGAGAAGGCGCCACUGAGGCCACUGCAAGAAGGUGGAGUCUGUGAGCCAGAAGACAGC